rnacentral:lncRNA from 1 species
GAGACUUGACAUUUAUUGUGCAAUUUUAUCUCCAACAGAACAUGUGGCAUUCUAGAGGUAUAUGAGGUAAUAAAAUCAAUACUCCAAUUAGAACACCUGAAAUAACUGGCUCUAGUAACAAAUGUUUCUUAUAAUUAAAAAUAUUGAAUGUUUAAAAAACUCUUAUAACAUUUUAAGUUCCUAAAAGAAAUGUGCCUAACACUUAAAAAACAACUUACUUUUCUAUAUAAAUUGUUCACAAAAAAAUCUUGCUAUUCUAUAUUACACUAUGCAUUUAUAGUUUUAUUAACAUAUCCCUAGUGGGUAUUAAUUCUACACAGUACAAUCGAAUAGAAAUUAUUCAUAGAGAAUCAACAGGACUCCAACAAUAAAAAUAUUAGGAUCAAUGGAUUUGUCACAGUUUCUCCACAAGUGUUCAUCAUAGAAAAUAGAGUAAAGGCAAGUUGGCCCCAAUGUCAGGCUGCUACAUGAAGCUCCAGAGAAGAGGGACAGAGGCAGUGCUUACACUGGGCAGGGUCUGGCUGGACCAAGGACCUCGAAAGUUUCAGGACCAUCUCACCAUCUGGCGCGCCCUGUUCCCAAGAAACACAAGCUGGGCCCGCAUGGCCUUGGUGGGCUCCUGAACUCAAGCACAGCCCCAGAGAUGUGAAAGCCAGUAACUACGGGAAAGGGUCCACAGAUUACCAUAUUUUCCUACAAAACCUUCACAACGGUUCUCACAGUGACAUCGUACAUUAAAUCCCUCUCUUCCAAACCAGACUCAUCGACUCUAAGGCUACAAACACAACAAAGGCGCAAACUGAAGGAAACGUUAGCUAACCGAUGCCCAGUGCCGUUUCUGACAUCUAUGGGUCCCCAAAGAAGAUCACUCCACUGAGUUCAAAUGUUUGCUUUAAAUCCCUGCAUUUUUGUACAGGGAACCUACAAAACAAAGGUGAACACAUCAGCAAUUUUAAUUUUUUCACUACUUUAACACUUCUAGUCAACAUGGACUCUCACGCAAGUCAAGUCUUACGCGGAAACCCGGGCAGUUACCAGAACAGGUAUGGUUUCUAGGGUCCUACUGAAGUGUCAACACACUUAAAGGUGGUUUUUACUAACACAAAUAUCAUCUUUCCCUCGAUGCCAUAAAUCAAACACAAUCCAUUCCAGACUGUUGGUGGGCUUUGAGAACUCUGACUACUGGGGGAAACUGAACUAGUCAUCCUGCUUCCUGAGCCCAAGGGGAUCGCUUACUAGCUGAGUACCUUGGGCAGCGUCCUUACGGAUAAACUGGGGUAACAAGAGUAACCGUCUCGGAGGACAGUCACGAGGAUCAAAAGGAGACGAUGCGUUAAAGUGCUUUGUAGAGAACCUGGCACACGAGAACUCAAGGAGUAUCAGCUGCAGUUAGUAGGGUGGUUGUUAGAGGUUUGGGGUGGGCCUGAAGGGUUUUCCAACGUGGCCAACACCCACAUGGCCACUUGUACUGGGGCAAUUACGCUGAAGGGGGAACUGUGACUCCGUGAACACCUAGACCUUGUAUCAGUCAGCUAUGGAUGGUCACCAGGAAAACCAACCUGGCCACUUGUACCAAAAAGAUUUGGUAAAUUUAGUGCUACAGGAGGCAAAGCUGGUCGUUAGUUAGACGGACAAAGUCCAGUCCUCUCACUGUUGGAUGCAGUUGAGUUCACUAUGGAGGGUGAGGUGGCCUCUAAGGUGUAGAUGGUAUCAGUUACGGUCUUGAGUUUUACACACUAGAAGGCAAGUACUGGGGCCUUGGUGUGGGCACCCCGCCUUGUCUGGCAUCAAUCCUUCAGCCUCUAGGAAACACAAAUGCCACUGACAACGCAAGUAACUGUGCAGAGGGCCACCGGCAGGGUAGCAUUUUCCUGCAUCAUUCCAAGGGAAGUGACUAUUUGUAUUCAGUACUUACACGACUGUAAGAAGCCACGGCUAUGUUUACAAAAAUAUAUCAUAAUGCGACAUAGCCCUGUUUAGACACAUUUACUUUAGGGUUCUGACUCCAGCGUUCUAGUUGACACGCUUUGCCAAGCAGUUAUGGCAAAUGUUGCCACGUUAAACACACACCAGCGAGGCUUGCACCAUAUGUGCACAAUCGUUUCCUAUUACAUUUCUUGAAAUUUGUGUAGAAGAGCUGUCAAAAACCAUAGAUCUCUACUGUGAAAUGACACAGCUCUGAACGAGAAAAGUUAAGUUUCAGUCUUUUCUACAAAUAAAGUUAUCCGAGACUGAGGUUUUAACAAAUGACUAAAAUCUAAGAAAAAACUAAGGAGGUAGUUGGUGGGUAUUAGGGUUAGAGUCUAGAGCAUGGGUUAUACAGUAAAACCCAAAUGAGGGCGAAUGUAGGUUUGCUUUUCUGAAAACCAUGCGUGUUUCACCUCGCGUAAUGCUCCGUCCGGGUUCUGAGAGCAGCAGGGAGGAGGACUAGAUAUCAAAGGCGGGAGGAGAAUGCAGAAGUCACGAACCUGCGGUUCACCAGGUUGGGGUUGUUGUCUAGAACUGGGGAAGACGUCAGGUAUCACAAGAACAGCUACUGGGCCGCAUACCCCGUUCUACCCGCAUCUGGCUCUUGGACGAGCCGGGCCAACUCCCACCUCUAGCAACGUGUCCUCUACAAGGCUGACAGUCCCCUAGGCCCCUGUGCUUAUGGCCGAGGAGGGGCCAACGAAGAUCCGGACCGAAGUGCACCCGCCCGCUCUGCAGCUGUGAAGCAGCUCCGCGGGUCUCCCAGUUCCCUCCCAAGGAGGGGCAGCCGCGUUCUGCAGCCGCCGUCACCGGCCUCUCAGCGUCCGGCAACGGCGUCCGGUGGGGCUGCUCACGGCCCAGCGGCCCUGCCCUCCGCAGCCUCCGGCCUGCUGCCUCCCGUGGGUCCCCCGAGGGCCUCCUGCGCCCAGCGCCGCUGCAUCUGGGGCUUCGGGCCGCUUGGAAGGUAGGCAGAGUCCCUGUCCUGUCCCCUUACCUCGGGGCAAUGAGACACGUCGAGACUGUGUCACCGGCAGGCUGUCGGGUCACGGCAGUCGCGGAGCACAUGAAGCGCUGGGCAGGCGGCGGUGAGCCUCUGGGGCCAGGCCAGCCCUGGGUCACCCCCCCCCCCCGAGAAGGUGGCACCGCCGCAGCCCGGGCUGCUCAGUCCGUCGGUGCCGGUGCCCAGCGACUUGGGGAUUCCAUGAGCUGACGCUACACUUUCUAGCCACGAGCGAUCCACCAACUGCCAAAGGCGCCAAGCGUAAGCCACGUCCUCAGGUCUCCAAGGACAUCAGGGCUAAGGGGGACAGAGUGGGGACGGCCCCCGGUCUUGGUGGUGAGCUUUUGAAACCUCGCUCCACACGGUCUCACCACAAAUAAGGAAACAUCCUCUGCACGCCCCGAUUUAGGGAUGAGGCGACCGAGAGGCAACCGCCGUGAGCCAGGCUCCCACAGCGGCCCCUGACGGCGGCCCCCAAGCCCCGGGGCUGGGCCGACCCUCACCAGGCCAGCCAGGCCGCGAGCAGGCGGCGCCCCAGCCCCACUCAGCCUAAAGCUGCUUGGCCAGCUCCAGCGAGCGCCUGAUGCAAAAAAGCAAGGACGGAAAGACAGAGGAGGUUGCGGGGACAGUCUGCGUCUGGCCAGGAUUUCCUGCCACCAAAGAGUCUUAUAAGGCACUGACUUCCCAGACCUCUGAAAACAUUUUAAAAGUCUCCUCCUUCCUUGGACUGCCGAAGGCAGAGGUCUCCUGGUUCCCCUAACAUCACAUUCGCCAUCAUCCUUUUACUUACAA